AAAUCUGGCUCCUCUGGAGUCCGAGUUGUAAUUUGUAGAAGAUGCUUUGGGUUGUGGGUUCGGCCUAAGUUCCUUGGAACAGGACGUCAUAGAGGGUGAGAAUCCCGUAUGUGGCCGAGGCCCGCGCCUAUGUAAAGCUCUUUCAACGAGUCGAGUUGUUUGGGAAUGCAGCUCAAAAUGGGUGGUAAAUUUCAUCUAAAGCUAAAUAUGGGCCAGAGACCGAUAGCGCACAAGUAGAGUGAUCGAAAGAUGAAAAGCACUUUGGAAAGAGAGUUAAACAGUACGUGAAAUUGUUGAAAGGGAAGCGCUUGCACCCAGACUUGGGCGCUGCCGAUCUCCUCUGAGUUCUUCUCGAGUGUACUCGACAGCGCACAGGCCAGCAUCGGUUCGGGUGGCUGGAUAAAGGCCGUAGGAACGUAGCUCCCUUCGGGGAGUGUUAUAGCCUACGGUGCCAUGCAGCCCAGCCGGACCGAGGACCGCGCCUUCGGGCUAGGAUGCUGGCGUAAUGGUUGUAAGCGACCCGUCUUGAAACACGGACCAAGGAGUCUAACAUCUAUGCGAGUGUUUGGGUGAUAAACCCAUACGCGGAAUGAAAGUGAACGUAGGUGAGAACCCCUUUGGGGCGCAUCAUCGACCGAUCCUGA
rnacentral:rRNA from 1 species